rnacentral:rRNA from 1 species
UCCUACGGGAGGCAGCAGUGGGGAAUCUUGGACAAUGGGUGCAAGCCUGAUCCAGCGACGCCGCGUGGGUGAUGAAGGCCUUCGGGUUGUAAAGCCCUUUUCCCAGGGAAGAUGAUGACGGUACCUGCAGAAAAAGCACCGGCUAACUACGUGCCAGCAGCCGCGGUAUUACGUAGGGUGCAAGCGUUGUCCGGAAUUAUUGGGCGUAAAGAGCUCGUAGGCGGUUUGUCGCGUCUGCUGUGAAAUCCCGAGGCUCAACCUCGGGCUUGCAGUGGGUACGGGCAGACUAGAGUGCGGUAGGGGAGAUUGGAAUUCCUGGUGUAGCGGUGGAAUGCGCAGAUAUCAGGAGGAACACCGAUGGCGAAGGCAGAUCUCUGGGCCGUAACUGACGCUGAGGAGCGAAAGCGUGGGGAGCGAACAGGAUUAGAUACCCUGGUAGUCCACGCCGUAAACGUUGGGCGCUAGAUGUAGGGACCUUUCCACGGUUUCUGUGUCGUAGCUAACGCAUUAAGCGCCCCGCCUGGGGAGUACGGCCGCAAGGCUAAAACUCAAAUGAAUUGACGGA